UACGAAGGGUGCAAACGUUGCUCGGAAUUAUUGGGCGUAAAGCGCACGUAGGCGGCUCUGCAAGUCGGAUGUGAAAUCCCUCGGCUCAACCAAGGAAGUGCAUCCGAAACUGCAAAGCUUGAGUACCAAAGAGGAUCGCGGAAUUCUCGGCGUAGCGGUGAAAUGCGUAGAUAUCGAGAGGAACACCUGCGGCGAAGGCGGGUUGCUGGGCUGACACUGACGCUGAUGCGCGAAAGCUAGGGGAGCGAACGGG
rnacentral:rRNA from 1 species